rfam:Lucheng Rn rat coronavirus isolate Lucheng-19, complete genome.
GGGUGCGGGGCUCUAGUGAUGCUCAACUAGAGCCCUGUAGUGAACAUCAUGUUGUAAGAGCUUUUG